UCAAGCAGGAGAGUAAGAAACUGGGUUUAUAAUGGCAAACGAGUGAAAUUGUUUGAACGUUGAAUGCUUAAUAUUUAACAGUUUUGUGUCUUAAAUGAGGUGUAUUGGAAAUGUGUAGGCAUUUAGUGAUUGGAGCAUACAAACUAAAGGAGCAACUCAUCUGAACCCUUGGAGUCUUGAAUAUUUGGUUCCUUGUUCUUCAACAGCCCCAGUGUUCAUAAGGGAGAUGUAUUACCAUUUGAGGUUCAACCAAAAUUUGAAAUGACAAAAGGUGACUACCAAGAUACAGGAUGAGGGAGUUUAAAGUUGUUGUUCUGGGAAGCGGGGGAGUUGGGAAGAGUGCUCUCACAGUUCAGUUUGUAUCAGGAUCAUUCAUGGAGAAGUAUGAUCCCACAAUAGAAGAUUUUUACCGAAAAGAAAUUGAGGUGGACUCUGCACCUUGUGUUUUGGAAAUUCUAGACACUGCUGGUACCGAACAGUUUGCCUCCAUGCGAGAUUUAUACAUCAAAAAUGGACAGGGGUUUGUUGUUGUGUACAGCAUCACGAGCCAUCAAACAUUUCAAGACAUUAAGAACAUGAAGGAACAAAUUAUGAGAGUAAAGAAUCUGGAACGUGUUCCAGUGAUUCUUGUUGGAAAUAAAGUAGAUCUUGAACAGCAACGAGAGGUAAGCAGCAUGGAAGGAAUGUCUCUAGCCCAACUUUGGGGAUGUCCUUUUAUGGAAGCUUCUGCCAAAAACAAAUGCAAUGUGAAUGAAAUGUUUGCUGAAAUUGUUCGUGAGAUGAACUUUAUUUCUGAACCAGAAAGACCCAGUCAUUGUUGUGUGGUUCUCUGAUGCAGGAAAAAUGAAUGGAUGGCUUGGAAGAUGUUUACAGGAAGAAAACUGAGCUGUGCCUUCCAUUAGGGUCUGAACCAACCAGAAUUUGACAUAGAUAGUUUCUGUGCAAUAAUUUCAUUGCUCCUAAGAUUGCUGCUGAUGUUUGAAAGAUCUCUGUAGUCCUUUUUUUCUUUUUCACAUGUUCACUUCCUAAAGUCAGCAUCUUCUCAGAACACGUGCUAUGCUUCAUGUCUGUGUGUAUUAAAACAUCAAUGUGGAUGCAUAUUGUAUAAAAAAAAUUUCAAGCAAAACAUUAGUGAGAUUUUUUCUAGCCAAAUAUCCAAUUCAAGAAAUUAAGAAUGAGUUUUGGAGCCCAAAGAAAUCUUAGAAUGAAUUAAGGAAACUUGUUGUACCUUAAAAGCUGUUUUAGACAGUAUAAGGUGCUGAUUUUUAUAGACAUUGUUUUUGAAAUGAAAAUUUAUAAUUUAUGAGGAUUAUUCAAAGAUUAUUAUGGAGCUUUCUGAAAACACAAGUCUAUCGACCAUUCCUCAGCUGAAGAAUGCCAUUACAGUAGCAUUUCAGGCUAUUCCUGGGGAGUUAAGUGCUGGCAAGUUCUAAUUUUGUAGCAUGACAUUGUGCAUGGAUUUUUUUGGUUGAUUCAUGAUGACCUGGUUUUGGAAAUCUGUAAAUACCCGUAAUGUAGAAUGGAUUUGUAGUUUCCAGACAAGAUUAAGCCAAAAAUAAUGUGUUUUCAUAGUAUAAAGUUCAUAAAACCUAGUUAUACUUUAUAAAUACAUUUAGACAAAGGAAACACGAGUACAUUUGAAAACACAUUAUUGCUGUAUUUGUGUGAUUUGAAAAUAAGUAAGGGUAGUAUAGGUGGGAAAAAAUAAAUUCUGUUUGAUAUUGCAAAAAAAAAAAGCCUUAAAUGUUUGCUAUAUUUAAAAAUUAUCAAAAAUAUAAUGUGUAUCAAGAAAAUGUGGUUAUAAUUUUAUUAGAAUUUUGAAUAAGGCUUUGAAAAUGUCAGAAAUUCUCAAGUAAGUCAAAUGUUUUAAAAAUAAGUAAAAAAAUACCUUUUAUAGCAACAAUGACUUUAGUAGGUCGAGGGAUAUAGCUUUUCAGGCAAAAGUAAAGAUGUUUCAUGUUUCUCUUGAUGCAUAAGAUAAAAUGCAAAGUCUAAUUUGAGACAUGAUAGUCACAGCCAAGUGUGUGUGUGUGUCAGUUUUGAAGAUGGUAGAAGAACAUACAGUACAGUAAUAAUACCAAAAGGUACUCUAUUUAAACUCAGUUUUUCUAUAACAUUUGGUCAAAAAUACUUAUUAGACAUAUUUCCUUUGUAUUGAAUCAUAAAGUUCCAAAAAACGUUAAGUUUUUAGCACUCGUACUGAAACUUCAUGUACAAAAGAGCAGUUCCUGAAAAGUAAAAAAAUAAGCAUAGGUCUUUUGUUAAACGAAACUUUUUCUAGUACACCAUAUGAACUUUAAUUUGUGAAACAUUUAACUGAGUAAUUGAUCAGUCCCAAAAGGUAAUCGCCAAACGAUUUCAUUCAAGCUAUUGAUUGUGAAAUCUGGUAUAACCUAAAACAUAUAUUACUAUAAUCAAUCAAAAUAUUUCCACCUUAAACUACAAUAUGAUUUUAAUUUUGGAAAAAUUGUGUCUUGUUUAGUAAUAUGAAAUUAAUGAAACUUUAUAAACAAAAUAUUUUUUACUCCUGACCUUACUUUCAAAUGAAUUAGACAAUGGUGAUCUUUAUUUGUUGUUUAGCUUACACAUACACAUGUAAUGAAUUAAAAUUUAGCUUUGAAGCUGCAAUUGAAAUAACUAAGGUACUGUAUACUUCAUUAAGAAUUUCUGGUGAGAAGCACUAAUAAUGAAAGUAAAGAUACAUUUAAUUGGUUCUUCAAACCUGUGAUUAUAAGAGCACAUACAAAAGUUUUAAAUGUGUGUACAUUUCCCAAAAUUGGUGCUGCAGCAUGUAUGUUAUUCUUACUUUUAUAAUUGUUGUUCAUAAUCUUUGUACAUUGAUUUUUAGAUUUUUGGACAUUUUUGUCAGGUGACUGAGUGAGCAGCUGACAGUUUUAUGCUGGUAAUGCUCUUGGUUAUGAUGUUAUAACAACUUAGACUUUUCAGUUGCCUCAUUCCAUGAUCAUUAUUCUGACUUCAUGGAUGUCAGUAACACUGCCUUAGCUUUUCAAAUUUUUAUUCAUCUUUUUAGACUUGUGUUUGUAUUGUUCUGAUUUCAAUAACUGUUUUUUAGUUGGGUGUAAUGUACCUUUGAUGGCAAUAAUUGGACCUUGUAGGUUGAGGUAAUUGUAGUGGUACUUCAUUACAUAGGAGGUAGCAAGUGAAGUAUACACACGAGCUAGAGAUAAUGUUACCACAUUGUUUGUUAUAUUAGUGUUAAAAAUAUGUAAAAUCAAGAUAAUCUGAUUUUUGCCUAUUGAGACAAUGGUGAUGACACUGUACUGCUUACAGUAGUGGUAACAAUAUCAUUCUGUUUGAGGUGGUUAAAAGUAAUGUCUAUUUAACAUGUGGUGGUAAUAGUAUUUAAACAAUUGUGGCAGUAUAUUACAUUCAUAAUACUAUACUAAAAGUUAAGUUAGCUUGAAGUAAUAGUGCUGUUUAUUAUAAAAUGGUUAAAACAUAAUUACAACUAUAAUGGGGGUAUUUCUCUGAGCUGUUUUCCAUACUUCAGUUCACAAAUUUUAUGAAAUCUUUAACACUCACAUUUAUUGAAAUAAAGCAGUUUUAUUAGAUACUAUCUAAAUCAAAAUUGUGUUACUAAUUAUCUGUAAAUUAUUUUUGCAUUAUAAUGCCUAUUAUAUAAUUAGAAAAUUUAUAUCUACAUAUAAAAACUUAAAACCUUACAUUAUUUUAUCAAUUGUUACUUCGUAAUAACGUACAAUUAAGAUUUGCUUCUUCAACAUUCGGGUAUAACUGGAAUAUUUGCACAUUAUUUUUUAAAUCAUAUAAUAGAAAGUGAGAACAGUAUAUUUAUUGAACAGGAUGUUGUGUUUGGUUGGAAAUAUUUUACAUGAUUGGCUUGUAUAUUAAAAUUAGUUUUGUACAUUUCAGAUAAGAUGGGAUUAUGAUAUCUGUAGCUGAUGUCAAAACUCGGGUACCACUUUGUAUACAACAUAUGUUAAUGGUAGGUUAUUUCUUCCCAUGAGCAAGAAAAAUUAUUUGGAAGUGGAAGGAUGGGAUGAUGAUCUCCAGUUAAUGAAACCUGAAAUAAUGCUGAGUUACCUGGCAUACCGUUGGAAAAGUUAGAGUAAUUGAAAUGUGCAGUAGAAAAAAAAAAUUAGAAAUUAAAUACCUAUUAAAAAGUUAAGAAUUUAUUUCUCAAAAGAAGAAAGUGGUACAGGUAUGCGAGUUGAAAAACUAAUUAGUGGAAUUAAAAGGGAAAGCUUGCAAGAGAGAGGACAGAACACUGUGAGUAAAUUAAGAUAUUAAAAGAUAGAAGGACCUGUUGAUACUUAAAACGUGUGUCAAAGGUCAGUGUUGAGAAGAAAAA
rnacentral:misc_RNA from 1 species